CAUCCGAUCGAGUCUCCGAUUGAUUCCCUUCCCCCACCCCAACCAGCUCCACCGGCGACCUGCUCUCCCCCAACCCCGCCCUCCGCCAUCUACCGACCCCACCUUCUCCUUCUCGACCUAGGCCCCGGAUCCACACUCGAGCAGCUCAGGCAUCUGAUCUGGCUGUGUCUGUGUGAAGGGAUGCGUGCAAGGAGAAUCUGCUCUCAUCUGCUUAACUUGUGCAACUUUCAUGGUUUUAACAAGCUGGGACCAUUCUACAUGCGUUAAUCCCAUCAAGGGGGGACCUGCCUCGGCGCGUGUGCAGCACCGCUGAGCUCAAGAUCUACUUUGAGAGCAUCCUCGACACCAGCAGCAAGAAACCUCCUCCUCAACGCGUCCGUCCCCGACGAGCCCUAUUUACCAGAGGAGGUGGAGGAGCAGGCCACCAUCCCUCUUCGCCCCUGCCUCCUCUCCUCUCCAGCGCAUGGAGACGGAGGGGAUAACUGAUGGGUGAUGGCUACUUCCCCCUCCCCUCCUACCCUUGCGGCCAUACGUGAAGGAAACAGCUGUACAUAGUGCUGAGGAGGGGCGCGAGUGGUGACUGGUGAACGCCCACCGUUGAAUCUGCAAGUGGCGUGCCGCGUGGAUGGAUCCAUUUCCUGUUUGGAGUGGAUAUGGACCAGCUCCGUCAGACUGCCGCAGAUACCUUAGGGCCAGCCCUGGAGCUUUCCCGUCUGGGAUCCAAGAGAUUGGUUUCGAUCGUGCAAAUGAUGAAAUCGGGCGUCUGCCGGAGGAGCUCCUCUCGGCGGUGCUCGCCAAGACAACGGCGCGCGACGCCAGCCGUGCCGCCGCGGUCUCCCAGCCCUUCCGUGCUGCGGCCGACUCUGACGCCGUCUGGACCUGCUUCGUGCCGGCCCUCACCGACGAGGAGCUGGAGGCCCCCGCGCCGCGGUCCAAGAAGGAGCUCUUCUUCCUCCUCUUAGAACGCCCCGUCCUCCUCCAGGACGGGCUCAUGGCUAUGUGGCUGGACAGGGAGACACUCGCCAAAUGCUAUAUGCUAUCGGCGAGGAAGCUGUUCAUCGCGUCCGGCGACAUGCCGCAGCACUGGAGCUGGAUCCCUCUCUCCGACUCCAGGUUCUCCCAAGGGGCUCAACUUAUCCGGGUUACUUGGUUCGAAAUCCAGGGACAAAUACACAGGACCAUGCUCUCCCCAAACUCGACGUAUGUGGCUUACCUCGUGUUUAAGCCAGUCGGUGAUUAUCCUCUUAGCACCAUGUUUGGGAUUCUGCGGGCCUCGGUCCGCACUGAAGAAGCGAAUUUAUUCCGCGACGUUCUCUUGGAUGAACAUUGGCCGCCGCGACGAUGGCGGGGGUGUGACGUGGCGGAGCGCCCUCGGCUCAGGGCCGACGGUUGGAAGGAGGUAGAGCUAGGUCAGUUCUACAACGCAGGGGGUGAAGAUGGUGAGGUGUCCUUCGGCCUCAUGGAAACGAAUCAAAGAGGGGUGAAGGCUCGUCUCAUUUUGCAUGGCAUUGAGAUCAGAUGUCUCAAAUCAGGCUGAAGAACACAUCCUCCUUCAGACUUUUAAGCUGCUACUUUUUAUUUACCUUACCUCAUUGACUUUCCUCUGGUAAAGAUUUGACCUCUCAGAAAGAUUCGACGAGUGAGGGCAGCUUGUGUCGGAAUAAGGGUCUUGACACUUUGAUCCUCCUGAAGCCGAUAUGUUUGAAGAAAUGUUGUAUGCAAUCAGGGUCUCUAGCUGGCAAUUCCUAUUUGGCACUGCAGGCGCCGGUUUCUACCUUUUUUUGCUAGCCAGCGCCUGCAGCAGCUAUUCACGGGCUGCCCAUAUUCCAUUUUUCUUCUGUUUUCUAAACUUUAAAGAAAACUGCAAAAAUUCCAAGCGAGGUAGGAUUUGAACCUUGCCUCGCUGGUUGUUUGCGAUCAACAGGAAACCAACCUGACCACCUCACUAGGUGUGAUAACAUA